rfam:Moniliophthora roreri MCA 2997 sctg_0107_0002, whole genome shotgun sequence.
GCCCGCGUUGUCUAAUGGUUAUGACGUCAGACUUCUACCCUCGGUUCCACCGUGGCUAGUAAUAGAUCUGGAGGUUGCGGGUUCGAGUCCCGCCGUGGGUU